GAGUGUGGGGGAGCCGCCCAGGGCUGCCCACACCUGCUGUGUGUCACCUGCAGCUCAGCCCCAGGAGGAAGGAAGUGAGAAACCCGUCGUGCUGGUUCCUGUGUCCUGCUGACAUCACUCCACUAGCCCUUCGCAGCUGCCUUGCUUUGUGAAACACCAGACAACCCAAGCUCGUCACCUUUGGGGACAAGGAUGGGAUCCAAAGGAGAUUGCUGAUGACUUUGGGGACAACAAGAUAUGCAGGUGUUAGUAUCUGCUGAACCAUUUGACUUCUCUGUCUUUCUCGCCAUUUCCGAGGACCAUGGUUCCCAGUGACCCAGAUGGGACCUGCUGGGAUACCCACCCCACUUGCUCUGGAGCCUGCAGACAGGAUCCAGGGAAAACUGGCAGAAGUUGGCAAAGGGGAUUCGUCUUCAAAGAGAUUCAUGGAAAGAUUCUACCAAGCGCUCUUGAAUGCUGACACCACUGCCAAGUUACAAGGUGUCAAACCUUGGGUGCACGUUUCACAAGUGGAACGAUCUGCCCUCUGGUCCUGCAUUGAUGGCGGAGAAUCAAAACUAACUUGACCAGGAAGAGAAGCAGCUGACACCACGUGGUAGACUGCUUCCUCCAAUGACAUUGGAUCAAGAAAGUUUGUUUCCAUUCCUCCUCCCCUCUUUGAUUAUCUUUUUCCUAAUUCUUGCCUUAAUUUAUAUAUCAUGAAGGUCUUUAUGAUUCUUUUGUCCACCUUUUUUGCUUGCUCUGUUCUGGAAAGAUAAUGACAUUGUUCUCAUCUUUCAUACCAUCACAAAGGAGGUCAUGCAACUGACCAUUGGAUUUGUCACGAGGCUGAUGAUCCUGUAGUUCUGCCCGUCACAAACUUCUCCCUGCUUUCCAGUGCCUCAGUUUCUCUGGAGCAGACUCAGCCCUCUCUCUAUUGUGCCAGACUCCGUAAUCGUGGGAGUCAAUUUCCCUGUCUCUGGUUAACAACGCCAAACCUAGGGAACCUUGCUUCUAGGCUCUGUAAAAAGAAAGAGACAUAAGGCAAGGGGAACCAGGAUAAAACAGCUGUGAGGGCUACAGGCCCCUACAUCUUACUGGCCUCCAGGGCUGUCACCUUUUCAGUCUGGAGCCUUGGCUGAUCACCCUGAACUCCACUAUUCU
rnacentral:lncRNA from 1 species